AUAUUUACUCUAAAAUCUUGGGUAGUUUGCUAUCCGUGGUUUAACUUUUACCCUCAACAUAAUGGUAAUGUUUACAAUGACCCUCUUUGGGUGUAAAUGCAACAUGUGGGUGUAAAAAUUACCCCAUGCGUUUGGUGUAAUGCCAAAUGCAACGCAUUUUUUAAAAUCAACAUGGGUGGAAGAAACAUUAAGCAAGAGUGGAAGAAACAUGCUUCUUCGUCAACAGAGUCCAAACCACUUUGUCGGAAUAUUAACAUUUAUGGUCUAUUUCUCCAAGAUUUCUUGAAGAAAAUCCUUUAAAUUAUUUGCUGUACCUGGUCCAACUUCAAUGCCUUUUUCGAGAAAUCCUGAUUCAUGAUUGCCAGACUGCAACUUAUAGCAAACCCAUUGUUGGUGUCGCAUGGCCAAAGUAAAUGGUGAAAAGCAAAGAGAUGUGAUUUGUAGCAAACUAAGAAAAAGUUUCCAUCGGUCAUUUUCUGGAGGAACAAUAUUUCCAAUUAUGAAUGCACUUGCAAGACAAUAUCGACAUGGCUUGUUUGCACUGCAACUCUCUUUAAAUCCUCCUAACAACUGUGCUCCAAGAUUGUCAGCAGAUGUGUAUGCUAUGGAUCCACAGAAGGUCUCGUCUACACCUUUAAUGUCGAAGGAAUGGCCACUGUUCUGAAACCAAAGUGGAAAAGUGAAGUUGUUUACUUUAUUAUGCUGCUGUGUGAGCUGAGCAUACCUUUUCUAACUUUUUUAAAUCAGUAACGAAUGGUUUUAGUACUGCAUCAAUUCCAUACUCUUUAAUGUUAGACGUUUGUUCUGAACUCGUGUGAGGAUUUUUGACCUAAAAUUUAGAGGUGAAAGAAAUAACUUCUAAGAAACAUCAUUGUGAAAAUGAUAUCUCAAGUGAAAUCAUCGUAAAUGCAACUUUUCCAAUUUGCCAUAAUGUAUAUUUGACUUAACUAUUAUUUAAUUUCAAAGACCAUGCACCUGACCUCUGCUAAAAUGAAGUCGUCAUUUAGAAGCUGUUGCAGACUAUCCAAAAGUGGUAUAUAAUAUGCCUCAUCAUUAACUUGAAUUUGCUCUAAUACACCAUUUCUUCUUUUGAAGACUCUCUUUUGACCCAGAAUAAUUCUACGUGGUUCCUGUUUAAAAAAAGCAAAGACGUCCAGGAAAAGCUUUUUCAUAGUUUUACCAUAUGUUUCUGCGUUCUCGUUAAUAAAAUGUAAUACCUUUAAUCCAAAAUUGUCUUUGUAAAAA